rnacentral:rRNA from 1 species
UACGGGGGGGGGCAAGCGUUGUUCGGAAUUACUGGGCGUAAAGGCUCGUAGGCGGCCAACUAAGUCGGAUGUGAAAUCCCCAGCUCAACCUGGGAACUGCAUCCGAUACUGGAUGGCUUGAAUUCGGGAGAGGGAUGCAGAAUUCCUGGUGUAGCAGUGAAAUGCGUAGAUAUCAGGAGGAAUACCGAUGGCGAAGGCAGGUCUCUGGGCUAUAACUGACGCUCAUGCACGAAAGCGUGGGGAGCAAACAGG